UGUAUGGUGGGGGGAGAGGGGGGGGGGUUACGGAGGGUGCGGGUGGUGGCGGGGUGGACUGGGGGUGAAGGGGUCGUAUGGGGUUGAUCGCGUCGGAAGGGGAAGCGUGGGGCUUAACCCUGAGCGGGCGUUCGAUACGGGUUGACUUGAGGAAGGUAGGGGAGAAGGGAAUUCCUGGUGGAGCGGUGGAAGGCGCAGAUAGCAGGAGGAACACCAGUGGCGAAGGCGGUUCUCUGGGCCGUUCCUGACGCUGAGGAGCGAAAGCGUGGGGAGCGAACAGGAUUAGAUACCCGAGUAGUC
rnacentral:rRNA from 1 species